AUUCCCUUCCGGUGCAUACAAUAAAAUUGGAAUGAUAAAGUGAAGAUUAGUAUGGCCCCGCACAAGGAUGACACACAAAUCGGGAAAUGGCCCAAAAAAAAAUU